rnacentral:rRNA from 1 species
GAUGAACGCUGGCGGCGUGCUUAACACAUGCAAGUCGAACGGGAAUUACUUUAUUGAAUCUUAGGUCGAUUUCAUUUAAUUCUAUUGGCGGCCGGGUGAGUAACGCGUGGGUAGCCUGCCUUAUACAGGGGGAUAACAGUCAGAUAUGGCUGCUAAUACCGCAUCAGCGCACAGAGCUGCAUGACUCGGUGUGAAAAACUCCGGUGGUAUAAGAUGGACCCGCGUUGGAUUAGCUUGUUGGUGGGGUAACGGCCCACCAAGGCGACGAUCCAUAGCCGGGCUGAGAGGGUGAACAGCCACAUUGGGACUGAGACACGGCCCAGACUCCUACGGGAGGCAGCAGGGGGGAAUAUUGCACAAUGGGGGAAACCCUGAUGCAGCCACGCCGCGUGAAGGAAGAAGUAUCGCGGUAUGUAAACUUCUAUCAGCAGGGAAGAUAGUGACGGUACCUGACUAAGAAGCCCCGGCUAACUACGUG